CUUUUCAUUUGGAGGUUCCGGAACAUACUGUUGAUUUCCAAUGGUCAUUGGCCCUUUUAAAUCAUGCACAGGAGGAAAAGAUGAGUCUUGUUUCUUCUUGGAGUGUUUACUGCUUGAGGGUUUUUGAGGCGCCAUUGCUGAAAGAAAGCUGAAGAAGAUUUCUCAGAAAAUGUGAAAAGCUUGAGAAAUGGGUAUGAAGAAGGAAAUCUGAAACGUAAAAGGGUUUAAAGAAAAGGUUUAUGGGUAUUUAUAGGAAGAAGAUGUUGAAACGUUUUAGAUGGUAAUGGUGUUAGUGGGACACGUGGCCAUUUCUGAUGGAAAUGAAAAAGAGGUAGAAGUUGAAAAGAAACCAUGACGUGAGGAAAUGAUGGAAGUAGGCUGUGAACGUGGGCUAGACGUGACAUUGUGGAGAAAGUGUAAUGAUGAAUCUGCAUUGGAAAUUGGGAUUAUCAGACUUGCAUUUAAUGAGGUUUAAAUGACAUGGCAUCAAAGCACUGAUUGACAACAAAUGACUGUUUCUCCAGAACAACAGUCGAAACGUCUUUGCUGGGGGGCAAUUUGUAUACGUGCGUUUUCGACGCCAUGAGAUUCGGUAUACGAAAUGAUGUUUCGACAAAUGAUGACAUGGGUUGGAACGGUUUGAUAAACAAGUAUGGUUCGACACUUCGACAAGAGGGAGGUUUCGUCAUUUCAACAAAGAUAUUCGCAGCUAGGAAGGUACUUUCGACAAAACACGGAAGACAUUGCAGUAUGUUGGUAGAUUCGACAAAAAUCCUGAAAGAAGACGUCAUUUCGACUUAACAUAUAAAUUUGAAUUUAAGGUGUGACGUUUGGCAGAAGCGCGUGGAAGCAUCUGGCGAAAGGAGGAAAGCCAUGUGUCGUAGUUUUAGGAUUUAGUCGUUAAUGACAGUUAUGUUAUUUAUGUAUAUAUAGGGUAGUUAUUAUCUAAAAAGUGUGUGAAGAAUUACUAUAUACAAAAUUCCUGAAAACACUCAAAGUACCCGUGUGAGAGAAAAGAGUCAUAUUUGGAAAAUGUAUGUGUAAACAAACACCAAUUCUUUCAAAGUUUAUUAUAUAAAGUUCAAA
rnacentral:lncRNA from 1 species